rnacentral:rRNA from 1 species
AGGACGAACGCUGGCGGCGUGCCUAAUACAUGCAAGUAGAACGCUGAAGAGAGGAGCUUGCUCUUCUUGGAUGAGUUGCGAACGGGUGAGUAACGCGUAGGUAACCUGCCUUGUAGCGGGGGAUAACUAUUGGAAACGAUAGCUAAUACCGCAUAACAAUGGAUGACACAUGUCAUUUAUUUGAAAGGGGCAAUUGUUCCACUACAAGAUGGACCUGCGUUGUAUUAGCUAGUAGGUGAGGUAAUGGCUCACCUAGGCGACGAUACAUAGCCGACCUGAGAGGGUGAUCGGCCACACUGGGACUGAGACACGGCCCAGACUCCUACGGGAGGCAGCAGUAGGGAAUCUUCGGCAAUGGGGGCAACCCUGACCGAGCAACGCCGCGUGAGUGAAGAAGGUUUUCGGAUCGUAAAGCUCUGUUGUAAGUCAAGAACGGGUGUGAGAGUGGAAAGUUCACACUGUGACGGUAGCUUACCAGAAAGGGACGGCUAACUACGUGCCAGCAGCCGCGGUAAUACGUAGGUCCCGAGCGUUGUCCGGAUUUAUUGGGCGUAAAGCGAGCGCAGGCGGUUUGAUAAGUCUGAAGUUAAAGGCUGUGGCUCAACCAUAGUUCGCUUUGGAAACUGUCAAACUUGAGUGCAGAAGGGGAGAGUGGAAUUCCAUGUGUAGCGGUGAAAUGCGUAGAUAUAUGGAGGAACACCGGUGGCGAAAGCGGCUCUCUGGUCUGUAACUGACGCUGAGGCUCGAAAGCGUGGGGAGCGAACAGGAUUAGAUACCCUGGUAGUCCACGCCGUAAACGAUGAGUGCUAGGUGUUGGAUCCUUUCCGGGAUUCAGUGCCGCAGCUAACGCAUUAAGCACUCCGCCUGGGGAGUACGACCGCAAGGUUGAAACUCAGAGGAAUUGACGGGGGCCCGCACAAGCGGUGGAGCAUGUGGUUUAAUUCGAAGCAACGCGAAGAACCUUACCAGGUCUUGACAUCCCGAUGCUAUUUCUAGAGAUAGAAAGUUACUUCGGUACAUCGGUGACAGGUGGUGCAUGGUUGUCGUCAGCUCGUGUCGUGAGAUGUUGGGUUAAGUCCCGCAACGAGCGCAACCCCUAUUGUUAGUUGCCAUCAUUCAGUUGGGCACUCUAGCGAGACUGCCGGUAAUAAACCGGAGGAAGGUGGGGAUGACGUCAAAUCAUCAUGCCCCUUAUGACCUGGGCUACACACGUGCUACAAUGGUUGGUACAACGAGUUGCGAGUCGGUGACGGCGAGCUAAUCUCUUAAAGCCAAUCUCAGUUCGGAUUGUAGGCUGCAACUCGCCUACAUGAAGUCGGAAUCGCUAGUAAUCGCGGAUCAGCACGCCGCGGUGAAUACGUUC